rnacentral:rRNA from 1 species
UACGUAGGGUGCGAGCGUUGUCCGGAAUUAUUGGGCGUAAAGGGCUCGUAGGCGGUCUGUUGCGUCAGGAGUGAAAACUCGGGGCUUAACCCCGAGCCUGCUUCUGAUACGGGCAGACUAGAGGUAUGCAGGGGAGAACGGAAUUCCUGGUGUAGCGGUGAAAUGCGCAGAUAUCAGGAGGAACACCGGUGGCGAAGGCGGAUCUCUGGGCCUUACCUGACGCUGAGGAGCGAAAGCAUGGGGAGCAAACAGG